CGGACGGGUGAGUAAUGUCUGGGAAACUGCCCGAUGGAGGGGGAUAACUACUGGAAACGGUAGCUAAUACCGCAUAACGUCGCAAGACCAAGAGGGGACCUUCGGGCCUCUUGCCAUCGGAUGUGCCCAGAUGGGAUUAGCUAGUAGGUGGGGUAAAGGCUCACCUAGGCGACGAUCCCUAGCUGGUCUGAGAGGAUGACCAGCCACACUGGAACUGAGACACGGUCCAG
rnacentral:rRNA from 1 species